UACAGAGGUCUCAAGCGUUGUUCGGAUUCAUUGGGCGUAAAGGGUGCGUAGGCGGCGCGGUAAGUCGGGUGUGAAAUCUCGGAGCUUAACUCCGAAACUGCAUUCGAUACUGCCGUGCUUGAGGACUGGAGAGGAGACUGGAAUUUACGGUGUAGCGGUGAAAUGCGUAGAUAUCGUAAGGAAGACCAGUGGCGAAGGCGGCUCACUGGCCCGGUACUGACGCUGAGGCACGAAAGCGUGGGGAGCAAACAGG
rnacentral:rRNA from 1 species